AUGGACUACUGCUGGGCCAGACUGACUUUAUGCCUUGGAAUGAGCCUUCCUAGCAACGUGGGAUGCUAUUGCCUAGCAAUGACCCUUCCUAGCAAUGUGGGACCUGAACUUCUAGAAAUAAGCCAUCCUAGCAAUGAGAAACCAGCUCAAAAUAAGGAGGAAAAAGCAACCUGAGGCCAGAAACCCGUAUUCCUUCUAAAAUGCUUUCUCCAAAAAGAUUUUAAAGAAAAAGGGAGGGGGGAAUGAGAAAGAAAAUUAAAUCUUGGGACCCCAAACUCAUUACGUCAAAGGGAAAAGUUAAGCUGGGAACUGGGUCAUGCAAACCUGCCUGCCUUUUGGUUCCUAUAUUAGAUGACUACAAAAUGAAAAGCUCCACAUCUCCCCCAUAUUUUGCCCACAAGGAAAUUCCUAGUGAUCUGCAAGAUCUUUACCCUAAGGUGUUUCUGUUAAAAUUUCACCAUGGCAAUGUAAAUUGAUAGCUUAUCUUUACAGGUGCAGUCACCCCCUGCCUACCAGACACAAAUGCAUAUCUGAUUGUUCCCCUGCCUCAUUUUGUCUAUGUCAUCUUAUGUAAAAAUGCAGAUUCCCUGAGCCAGACAAAGGCA
rnacentral:lncRNA from 1 species